ACAUCCAGAGAACCUAGCAGAGAUUGCUUUGGUGCCUUCGGGAACUCUGAGACAGGUGCUGCAUGGCUGUCGUCAGCUCGUGUUGUGAAAUGUUGGGUUAAGUCCCCGNAACGAGCGCAACCCUUAUCCUUUGUUGCCAGCGGUUCGGCCGGGAACUCAAAGGAGACUGCCGGUGAUAAACCGGAGGAAGGUGGGGAUGACGUCAAGUCAUCAUGGCCCUUACGGCCAGGGCUACACACGUGCUACAAUGGCGCAUACAAGAGAAGCGACCUCGCGAGAGCAAGCGGACCUCAUAAAGUGCGUCGUAGUCCGGAUUGGAGUCUGCAACUCGACUCCAUGAAGUCGGAAUCGCUAGUAAUCGUAGAUCAGAAUGCUACGGUGAAUACGUUCCCGGGCCUUGUACACACCGCCCGUCACACCAUGGGAGUGGGUUGCAAAAGAAGUAGGUAGCUUAACCUUCGGGAGGGCGCUUACCACUUUGUGAUUCAUGACUGGGGUGAAGUCGUAACAAGGUAGGCGUAGCGAG
rnacentral:rRNA from 1 species